rnacentral:rRNA from 1 species
UGACCGCGUAUGAAGUACGUUUUCACCUCGGGUGACAGGGAGACAGGUGGUGCAUGGUUGCGUCAGCUCGUGUCGUGAGAUGUUGGGUUAAGUCCCGCAACGAGCGCAACCCCUACGUUUAGUUGCUAACAGGUGAAGCUGAGCACUCUAGACGAACUGCCGUUGACAAACGGAGGAAGUGGGAUGACGUCAAUCAUCAUGCCCCUUAUGUUCUGGGCUACACACGUGCUACAAUGGCCGGUACAGACGGAGGCGAAGCCGCGAGGCGGAGCAAAUCCGAAAAAGCCGGUCUCAGUUCGGAUUGCAGGCUGCAAUUCGCCUGCAUGAAGUCGGAAUCGCUAGUAAUCGCAGGUCAGCAUACUGCGGUGAAUACGUUCCCGGGCCUU